rnacentral:ncRNA from 2 species
UUAAGGUGUGCGGGACAACUUCAUCCGUACCCGAUCGGGGGAAGCCGGUGGAAAUCCGGCGCUGACCCGCAACCGUGAGGACGCCCCGCCCGCACCGUGCCCCCGGCCCGGCGUGGCGGGCCGUACGAGCCGGAGCACCCGACCGGGCACGACCAAGGCU